UUUACGGAGCCCUCCCUAGACACCUAGGAGAACACUUUUAUUAAGUCGUGCCCUCGAGUUAGUAUCUUGUUCCCUCCAGUUAGGUUACUCGUUCCCUCAAUUUAGUAACUCGUUCCCUCGAGUUAGGUAACUCGUCCCUUCCAGUUAGUAACUCGUUCCCUCCAGUUAGUAACUCGUUCCCUCCAGUUAGGUAUCUUGUUCCCUCCAGUUAGUAACUCGUUCCCUCCAGUUAGUAACUCAUUCCCUCCAGUUAGUAUCUCGUUCCCUCGAGUUAGGUAUCUCUUUCCCUCGA